GCGGAAGUGGCGGAACCGGUAGACGCGCACGGCUUAGAACCGUGUGCCGUGAGGCGUGGGGGUUCGAGUCCCCCCUUCCGCA
rnacentral:tRNA from 1 species